UACAGAGGGUGCGAGCGUUGUUCGGAAUUACUGGGCGUAAAGCGCGCGCAGGCGGCCUUUUAAGUCUGCUGGUGAAAUGCCGGGGCUCAACCCCGUGCCCGCCACAGAUACUGGGAGGCUGGAGACGAGUAGAGGCAAGCGGAAUUCCGGGUGUAGCGGUGGAAUGCGUAGAGAUCCGGAAGAACACCGGAGGCGAAGGCGGCUUGCUGGGCUUGGUCUGACGCUGAGGCGCGAAAGCGUGGGGAGCGAUCAGG
rnacentral:rRNA from 1 species